UCCCUAGUGGCCCAGAUUGGUAAGGAAUCCACCUGCAAUGUGGGAGACCUGGGUUCAAUUCCUGGAUUGGGAA
rfam:TPA: Bos taurus chromosome 13, whole genome shotgun sequence.